rnacentral:rRNA from 1 species
AUUGAACGCUGGCGGCAGGCCUAACACAUGCAAGUCGAGCGGAUGACGGGAGCUUGCUCCUUGAUUCAGCGGCGGACGGGUGAGUAAUGCCUAGGAAUCUGCCUGGUAGUGGGGGACAACGUUUCGAAAGGAACGCUAAUACCGCAUACGUCCUACGGGAGAAAGCAGGGGACCUUCGGGCCUUGCGCUAUCAGAUGAGCCUAGGUCGGAUUAGCUAGUUGGUGGGGUAAUGGCUCACCAAGGCGACGAUCCGUAACUGGUCUGAGAGGAUGAUCAGUCACACUGGAACUGAGACACGGUCCAGACUCCUACGGGAGGCAGCAGUGGGGAAUAUUGGACAAUGGGCAAAAGCCUGAUUCAGCCAUGCCGCGUGUGUGAAGAAGGUCUUCGGAUUGUAAAGCACUUUAAGUUGGGAGGAAGGGCAGUAAGCUAAUACCUUGCUGUUUUGACGUUACCGACAGAAUAAGCACCGGCUAACUCUGUGCCAGCCGCCGCUGUAA